UUGCACUUGCUACUUGCAGAAUGCAGACCAGACAAGUAAGUUAAGUACAGUUGUAUAAUCAAGUAGUCUGUUGUUGUUCAACUUGUACAGUACAUUAUUUUCACGAAAUAUGCUAAGUUAAUUAUUAUUUCUCUAAAUCAUUUGAAGAAUCGAGUUGUAUCAGCAACAAUACGUUGAAUUGCUGAGCAAGACAUCCAACAGCUGUAGGCCUAUGUCUACUAGGAGGAUGGUGGUUAACCUGCUUGCCACAAAGUUUUUUUUUCAUUGGGGGACCGAGCAAGGCAGAUUUUGGAAAGGCUAAACCAAACAAGUGCAUCUCUUGGUGGAUUGCUGAACAGCAUGGGUGAAAGAUUUCUACAACAGUACAUCUACAGCAGAUGUAACUACAGUAGUAACUAGGAGGAUGGUGGUUGAACUAAUUGCUACAACAUUUUUCCAUUCAGAAAAAAAUAUGGGGACCGAGCAAGGCUAAACCAAACAAAUGCAAAUGUUGAUAGUAAAAACCUGCCGUUGGAAUGGAUCGAGUUGAUGAGAUUUACGCCUUUCAUGCCAUUCCCCAUUUAUGUCUUGGAACUUUUCAGUCAAACUUACAUCAUCAUCAUGAAAAUGUUUAAUACAUACCACAGAGCUUGCAUUGGGUUCCCAAUCUGUUCUAGAAAUUGCACGAAUCCACGCCCUACACAAUUCAGGAUUCUUCGGGAAAGAAAAUGUACUAGUAACGGGUACACUUCCAUAUCUGUUGGCACUAAUAUCGAAUGAGUACUUUUUAUAUCGAACGAGUACUUUUUAUCGAUAUAUCGAUUAAUCGAUAUAUAACCUAACCUAACUAAUUAAACUAUCGAAUGAGUACUUUUUAUCGAUAUGUCGAUUGUUCGAUAUAUCGAUAAAAAGUACUCGUUCGAUAUUAGUGCCAACAGAUAUGGAAGUGUACCCCUAGUAACUCCUUCAUCUUUUACAUUAUUUCUAUAAUUUGAUUUGCAAACAGGAACAACACAUGCUUGAGGCAUCUCAACAUCACUUUAUUACUUGUACUUCAUAAAUAGUGAAUAACUUGAAUAAACAUGGUUUCUAAUUCA